rnacentral:rRNA from 1 species
UACGUAGGGGGGCAAGCGUUGUCCGGAUUUAUUGGGCGUAAAGAGCUCGUAGGUGGUUCGGUAAGUCGGAUGUGAAAUCUCCAGGCUCAACCUGGAGGGGUCAUUCGAUACUGCCGUGACUAGAGUUCGGUAGGGGAGUGUGGAAUUCCUGGUGGAGCGGUGAAAUGCGCAGAUAUCAGGAGGAACACCGGUGGCGAAGGCGGGUCUCUGGGCCGAUACUGACGCUGAGGAGCGAAAGCGUGGGGAGCGAACAGG